GUUGACAAGUGGCAAAGUGGGCUGCGAGUGCAAUGAAGCGGCAAGAGCGAGUAGGCGCGCUGAUUGAGCGUUGUAAAGAUAAACAAACUCCCUGAAGAAGGCGGGAAAAAGCGCUGAAACGCGUAGGAGGGAAAAGGAAAACUUAUUUUCGCUUUUUAUUUCAAGAAAGAAGGCAUUUAAUGCAAAUUGAAAUUUUUUGCUAUUUUUUCUGCUGCUGAGGCGCUUGCCUGGUUCUCCUUAAAAGUAUUUAGAAUAUCGUGUAAAAAAUUGGACCUAAAAGAAGCGCUUACUUACGUUUCUUCUCAUCGGCAGACAUAAGUAGCGAUAAAAUGGUGACUUGAUUAUUU